rnacentral:ncRNA from 1 species
CUUUGAAAAUAGCAAACUCAUUGAAACAUGAGGACGCAAAGCUGCGGGCCAAUUUCCAUGGCAGCCGGGUUGCCAAA